GAUGAAGAACGUAGCGAAAUGCGAUAAGUAAUGUGAAUUGCAGAAUUCAGUGAAUCAUCGAAUCUUUGAACGCACAUUGCGCCCCUUGGUAUUCCAUGGGGCAUGCCUGUUCGAGCGUCAUUUGUACCUUCAGGCUCUGCUUGGUGUUGGGUGUUUGUCUCGCCUCUGCGCGUAGACUCGCCUCAAAACAAUUGGCAGCCGGCGUAUUGAUUUCGGAGCGCAGUACAUCUCGCGCUUUGCACUCAUAACGACGACGUCCAAAAGUACAUUUUUACACUCUUGACCUCGGAUCAGGUAGGGAUACCCGCUGAACUUAAGCAUAUCAAUAAGCGGAGGA
rnacentral:misc_RNA from 1 species